rnacentral:rRNA from 2 species
GUUUGAUCAUGGCUCAGGACGAACGCUGGCGGCGUGCCUAAUACAUGCAAGUCGAACGAAACUUUCUUACACCGAAUGCUUGUAUUCACCGUAAGAAGUUGAGUGGCGGACGGGUGAGUAACACGUGGGUAACCUGCCUAAAAGAAGGGGAUAACACUUGGAAACAGGUGCUAAUACCGUAUAUCUCUAAGGGUCGCAUGAUCCUUAGAUGAAAGAUGGUUCUGCUAUCGCUUUUAGAUGGACCCGCGGCGUAUUAACUAGUUGGUGGGGUAACGGCCUACCAAGGUGAUGAUACGUAGCCGAACUGAGAGGUUGAUCGGCCACAUUGGGACUGAGACACGGCCCAAACUCCUACGGGAGGCAGCAGUAGGGAAUCUUCCACAAUGGACGCAAGUCUGAUGGAGCAACGCCGCGUGAGUGAAGAAGGUCUUCGGAUCGUAAAACUCUGUUGUUAGAGAAGAACACGAGUGAGAGUAACUGUUCAUUCGAUGACGUAUCUAACCAGCAAGUCACGGCUAACUAACUACGUGCCAGCAGCCGCGGUAAUACGUAGGUGGCAAGCGUUGUCCGGAUUUAUUGGGCGUAAAGGGAACGCAGGCGGUCUUUUAAGUCUGAUGUGAAAGCCUUCGGCUUAACCGGAGUAGUGCAUUGGAAACUGGAAGACUUGAGUGCAGAAGAGGAGAGUGGAACUCCAUGUGUAGCGGUGAAAUGCGUAGAUAUUAUGGAAGAACACCAGUGGCGAAAGCGGCUCUCUGGUCUGUAACUGACGCUGAGGUUCGAAAGCGUGGGUAGCAAACAGGAUUAGAU